UAUAUACUCCCUCCGUCCCAAAAUUCUGGUCUUAGAUUUGUGUAAAUACGGAUGUAUCAAGUCACAUUUUAGUAUUAGAUACAUCUGUAUCUAGACAAAUAUAAGACAAGAAUUUUGGGACGGAGGGAGUACAUC
rnacentral:pre_miRNA from 1 species